rnacentral:rRNA from 1 species
GAUGAACGCUGGCGGCGUGCCUAAUACAUGCAAGUCGAGCGAACGGACGAGAAGCUUGCUUCUCUGAUGUUAGCGGCGGACGGGUGAGUAACACGUGGAUAACCGACCUAUAAGACUGGGAUAACUUCGGGAAACCGGAGCUAAUACCGGAUAAUAUUUUGAACCGCAUGGUUCAAAAGUGAAAGACGGUCUUGCUGUCACUUAUAGAUGGAUCCGCGCUGCAUUAGCUAGUUGGUAAGGUAACGGCUUACCAAGGCAACGAUGCAUAGCCGACCUGAGAGGGUGAUCGGCCACACUGGAACUGAGACACGGUCCAGACUCCUACGGGAGGCAGCAGUAGGGAAUCUUCCGCAAUGGGCGAAAGCCUGACGGAGCAACGCCGCGUGAGUGAUGAAGGUCUUCGGAUCGUAAAGCUCUGUUAUUAGGGAAGAACAUAUGUGUAAGUAACUGUGCACAUCUUGACGGUACCUAAUCAGAAAGCCACGGCUAACUACGUG